ACGUUUGCCGACUGUGUUGGAGAUGAACUGCCUCUGGGUUGGGAGGAGGUCUACGACCAGCAAGUGGGAGUUUACUACAUCGACCACAUCAACAAGACCACCCAGAUUGAGAAUCCGCGGACUCAGUGGCGGCAGGAGCAGGAGCGCAUGUUGAAGGAGUACCUUGUGUUGGCCCAGGAGGCCCUCAACGCCAAGAAGGAGAUGUAUCUGGUUAAGCAGCAGCGACUAGAGCUGGCUCAGCAGGAGAUGCUGCACUUCCAUGAGCUUUCUGAGGACAACCACUCUAUCACCAGCACUCUUUCCAGCUCGUCUUCAAAUGCAAAAUAUGACCCAGAUCAAAUCAAAGUGGAAAUAACCUGUA